rnacentral:ncRNA from 1 species
ACCUCGGGGGGCCUUACUGGCUGAGAUGCGAUAGCAGACCCGUUGAACCUGAACCGGCUAAUACCGGCGGAGGGAAGGUUUGAAUC